UACGUAGGGCGCGAGCGUUGUCCGGAAUUAUUGGGCGUAAAGAGCUCGUAGGCGGUUUGUUGCGUCGGCUGUGAAAUCCCGAGGCUCAACCUCGGGUCUGCAGUCGAUACGAGCAAACUAGAGUGUUGCAGGGGAGACUGGAACUCCUGGUGUAGCGGUGAAAUGCGCAGGUAUCAGGAGGAACACCGGUGGCGAAGGCGGGUCUCUGGGCAACAACUGACGCUGAGGAGCGAAAGCGUGGGGAGCGAACAGG
rnacentral:rRNA from 1 species